rnacentral:tRNA from 1 species
AUUUAUAUAGUUUAUUAGAACAUAAUAUUGAAGAUAUUAAGGAUUAUAUUAUAAAUGAUUCUAGCUG